rnacentral:rRNA from 1 species
CGGUGGAGCAUGUGGUUUAAUUCGAUGAUACGCGAGGAACCUUACCUGGGCUCAAAUGUAUGUUGACGUAUUCUGAAAGGGAUACUUCUUCGGACAAUAUACAAGGUGCUGCAUGGUUGUCGUCAGCUCGUGCCGUGAGGUGUCGGGUUAAGUCCCAUAACGAGCGCAACCCCUACCUUUAGUUGCCAUCAGGUAAUGCUGGGGACUCUAAAGGAACUGCCUACGCAAGUAGUGAGGAAGGCGGGGAUGACGUCAAAUCAGCACGGCCCUUACGUCCAGGGCUACACACGUGCUACAAUGGCCGAUACAGAGGGCAGCUACCUGGUGACAGGAUGCAAAUCUCCAAAGUCGGUCUCAGUUCGGAUCGGAGUCUGCAACCCGACUCCGUGAAGUUGGAUUCGCUAGUAAUCGCGCAUCAGCCAUGGCGCGGUGAAUACGUUCCCGGGCCUU